rnacentral:sRNA from 1 species
UCGGUGGCAUCCCGUGGACGUACGCAGAGGACGCUGUGCCCACUCUUACUCCGUGCCGCUUCACUGGCAGUGAGAUCCGCCACCGUGACGAUGCUCUACCUUUUGCCCACGUGGCCAUUGCAGUAGAGGGUCCUGGCUGGGCCAGCCCGGACAAUGUGGCCUUGCAAGUGGCCAAUGCCAUCAUCGGCCACUAUGACUGCACUUAUGGUGGUGGCGUGGUGAGUGCCAGAGCGAGCAUGGGACCUCGCCUUCAGGGAAGAGAGGGUGCUGGGGGCUGUGUGCUCCUGUGUGUGGGGGUCACAGUGUGGGUUGAAGACGAGGGUGGGUGCUGACCACCUAUCCCCCUGGCAGCACCUGUCCAGCCCACUGGCUUCAGGUGCCGUGGCCAACAAGCUAUGCCAGAGUUUCCAGACCUUCAGCAUCUGCUAUGCAGAGACGGGCUUGCUGGGUGCACACUUUGUCUGUGACCGAAUGAAAAUCGAUGACAUGAUGUUCGUCCUGCAAGGGCAGUGGAUGCGCCUGUGUACCAGUGCCACGGAGAGUGAGGUGGCCCGGGGCAAAAACAUCCUCAGAAAUGCCCUGGUAUCUCAUCUAGAUGGCACUACUCCUGUGUGUGAGGACAUCGGACGCAGCCUCCUGACCUAUGGCCGCCGCAUCCCCCUGGCUGAAUGGGAAAGCCGGAUUGCGGAGGUGGAUGCCACUGUGGUGCGUGAGAUCUGCUCCAAGUACAUCUAUGACCAGUGCCCAGCAGUGGCUGGAUAUGGCCCCAUUGAGCAGCUCCCAGACUACAACCGGAUCCGUAGCGGCAUGUUCUGGCUGCGCUUCUAGGCGGGAAGCCUGUGUAAGCAAGAGGGCGGGGCUGGGGUUCGUGGUCCCCCCACAAACACAGCACUCCAGCUCCUCUAACUUGUGCCACAGGUGACCACCAAUAAAAUCCUCUGCUGAGAA